rnacentral:tRNA from 1 species
CAGUGGCUCAAUUGGUAGAGCAGCGGUCUCCAAAACCGCAGGUUGGGGGUUCGAUUCCCUCCUGG